UUUACUCUGAUUUUGUUAGUUCUUUCCUAUAUAGUUUUCUAGUUUAGUUACUCUUUAAGGAUUUUCCUCAAGAGUUGUAUUUUCCAAUGUGCCAAGUAUUCAAGCUCCUUUUGGAUAUCAAAUAUCAAGUGCUGUUAACGUCAUUGUAGAGUGAAAAUGGUAAUUAUUAGCUGAACAAAAUUACAUGGACAUCAUAAUUGAGCAUAAACUUAUGAGUUUCCAAUGCUUUCAACUGUACAACAUGCACCGCAUGUCGUCUCCUUGCCGGUUAGUUGGACCAGUUCAACUUUUGCAUAAUUAUGACCCAACAUAACAGCUUAUUCUGGUGCUUUUGACUGUAGUAUAACAAUGCCGCUCUCAUUUGCAUGUUAUCUUAAAGAUCUAUUUACCCUAUGGUAUGAUGGCGAAAGGCCAUUUCAGAAAAGCCUUCUUUCUUUUCAGG
rnacentral:misc_RNA from 1 species